AGGAGGCGGCGGCGGCGGCGGCCGGAGCUGGAGGGGGAGGAGGGGAGGAACCUGAUCUCUCCGGUAGCGAAGGGCUGGAGGCAAACACCGAGCUCCCCCAGAGCCGCCCGGGAGCAGGGAGGGCUCCGCUACUUCGGGGGGCCCUCCCCGCGGGGCAGAUGAGUUCAAUUCCCAGAGUCUCUGAGCUAUGUUUUCAGCUCAUCCAGGCAUUCCAUUCUCCUGACUUUCCAUAAAAUGUUGGAUUCAUCACCCACUCCAUACUUAAGAACAUGGGGAUAAGACAAUGGUUCUACCAUUUCCAUCUUGUUCAGUUUCUUGAAGAAGUCCAUGUCAGAAGCAGCCUCAUUAGCACCACAAAUCGGUCCACACAGGAUUUGUCUGCUUACACUUAAGACCUUCCAGAGUUUCAGGCUAUCUGCAGCACACCCCUCAGUGGUGCUUCUUUGGAUUCUACCACGCGCUCGUGUCUUCCCCUCUUGCCACUAUUCCCGUUGAGAUUUUAGCUUCCGCCAAUAAUGUUUGUUCAUCAUCUUAUAUAAAGAGGAUGAUGACAUGUACUACACGAGGUAAUGAUGCUGCUAGUUCUAAAGCUUACAAGAUGCCUGACCUGCAAAAUAGAGAUACUCUUGGGAGGAGGCUGCUUGCCACAAUGAACUGCUACGUGACUAAGAAAUAACAUAUUUUGUUAACCUGCUAUACUUCAUAUCUUGUUUGUUAUAAGCAGUGAGCUCUGAUUAAUAAAAGGCUGACAAAGUGAACAGUAUGUACAAAGACUUACUGAUGAGCAUAUCUAGUACAGAGUUCAUGCUCAAUAAGUAAUUGAUAACGCAGUAAGAGUAUUAUGGGAACAUAAAAAUAAUCCAGUUUGGCUAGAACAGAAAAUACGUGAUAGGUGGGAGUGAGGGCAAGGUGGCUGAACAGUUGGGUGUGGGUUGAUCAUAAAGAAUCUUGAAUGUCAUGAUGAAGAAUUUAGGUUUAAUCUUAUGGAGUAUGGGAAGCCAAGGUCAAAUACUGAGACAGUGAAAGGCCCAAUCACUGGAAUAACAGCCUCCCUGAGAAACAGAACACCCGAACACCUCAUUUGAUUACCUUUCAGUGAAAUAAGAAUUGGAUUUUAGAACCAGAAAACAUUAUGGUCUAGUCAUUCAGCAAAUGAGGAAACUGAGGCCCAAAGAAGUUGAGUAUUUGUACCAAGGUCAUUCCAGCUUAAACUGAGCAGAGCUGAGGACUACAAACCCAGUGUUGUUGCCAGCCCGACAGCACUGCUCUUUCCACUGUACCACAGCGCUUCAAAGCAGUGGAGACCAGCUGGUGUGCCUGUGUUUUCAGUUCCCUAAUGAAGACAUUGGGGAUUUGGAGGGAGGGUAUUUUCCAUGAAAGGCUGUCUUCUCUGUAAUUCCUCAUCUGGCUUGAACCACUAUUUUGGAAAAGAUCCAUUUUUCAGCAUCAGAUUUCCCUGGAGGAUGAUUGGGAAUGUGCUCAGUGGCCUGUGGGGUGCCCUUGCACUUUCUGAGCUUUUGUUGGGAAGAUGAGAAGAAAGUAGCAGUGGCUUGAGCUCCUGGAAACGCCGCUUGGGCCCUUGGCAUCUGGGGAGUUGGCCCUCUCACUGCCUGUGGUUCAGUUCGCCAGCUGAUUGUCCUACAGGGGUCAGAUCUAAAAAAAUUUGCUCAGCUUGUCUUUUGAAAAGGUCAGCCUCUAGGGCUGGCAUUUUAGUAUCACUUUUGUUCAUUAGUUCGCUUCUUCUGGUUUUCAUAUAUUGCUGAUUCAUUAUUCAUUAUAAUUAUUUUUACUCCAUGUGCUCUCCAAGACAAUAUGAUACACAUUUAUUUUUUAAAGGCAAGUCAGGGUAAGAGACAAGUGGGCUGAGCCAGUCUCAGAGACAUACAGUCUGACUUAAGGAAGACCAGGUAUUAUUGAAUUAUUUUACCCCUGGAGGAGCCAGAGCACAGUGGGAUGGGGGAGGGGGCAGAGGGAAGAGCAUUUGUCCAAAAGUCUCCAAGAAAUAUGGGGGGAGGUUCUCCCUGGUUAAAGCAAGCACAGUAAGCUGGCCACAGCUGCUUUGGUUUGAGUUAGAUCCCCCACCCCAGAGGUGACCCA